UUCCCAUACGUUUCCUCCUAAUUUCGUCCUUUUUUCGAAUUGUUUAUCUGAUAUUAUAGAUUAGAUGUGCCUUUUUUGAGAGAUUCCGUACUCUGUUUGCAACCAUUCCCCAUUGUCAUCUUCAGUUCAUCCAAUUUUUAUGCAUCUGUCAUUUACAUUUUGAUUUGAAGUUGGGAUUAGCUUUGUAGAUCUAGGGUUAUAGGUUGAAUUCUUUACACAACCUUUUCCUCUUUGAAUUUUUCUUCAGAUCCAUUUGCCUAUAAAUUGUCACACAACCCUCACUCCACCACCAUUCACACAACCAUUACUCCACCACAUUUCACACAAUCUCACUUCAAUCUUUGAGAUGGCUGGUGGUAUUAAUUCGAUCAGAAGCCUUAUACCUGGACGAGAUCUGUGGAGAGUGAAAGUCAGGGUUCUUGAGAGACAUGAUAUCAUCAAGAAAAGAUUAGACACUCAUGGCAAUGUGAUAGAAACAAGGCAAGAUGGGAUAGGCUCUCCUACGAGGCAUUUGUUCAAACAAAUAUAUUUGACCCUUCAACCAAAGGAACGAUAAACCUACUCAAGUCCUGUUUGAAAUCCAAUUCUGUAAAAAGGGUUGUUUUCACAUAUUCCAUAAGUACAAUUACUGCAAAAGACAGCAAUGGAAAGUGGAUACACAAAUUUUGGUUCCUUAGGGUUUUUUUUUCUUGACUGUAGGUUUAUGCACUUUCAAAGCAUCUCACCGAGGAAGCAACAUUUAAAUUUGCAAAAGAGAACAUUGAUAUAACAAGCAUUGUUGCAGGCCCAUUCUUCACUGCUAAUGUGCCAUCAAGUGUUAAAGUUCUACUGUCACCAUUAACAGGUCUCUCUUAGAAUCUUGAACCGGUAUUGAAUCAGUCUUGAAGAACUCUAGAAGUAGCUUAUAAAGUGGUGGUUUAGUCUUUGACUAUUUAGUCAUUUACCUUUACUAUUUGUCUUAUUGCAUGUUCUCUCCUAAAGUUGGUUUGCUUUGGACUUUGGAACCUUUUUACUGAAGUGAUUCUUGAAGAUCUAUUCAUCUAGCUAAUAUAUUGGUGUAUUCAUUCA